UGCGAAGAUCUGAGCCCUCAAAUCCUUGA
rnacentral:piRNA from 1 species